ACAUAUAUUACAUAAUUUUAAUUUAGGAAGUAUGUUGGUUGUUGGUUAACCAUCAUGCACUAAAAAUCUGUAAAAGUGGAACUCCAGUUUGACAUAAUAAGUGGUUAUUAUUAGAUUUAGAAUAGGACAGUUUUAGUGCCAGGUCUCAUGAGUGUAUGGCUACAUCACGACCACUUCUCAAAGCCAGUUCAGGCUGUCUAAGUAGCAUCACUGAAAUACAAUGUUUUAGUUUUAGCAGACCGCUACGAUGAGCAACUUACUCUAGAACCGGCGACUCCUGGGGCUCCAGCCUCACCGGGAACACCCUAGACAGGAAAAUGAAAAAGACAGGGUAAGACUCUGAUUCAUUUAAGUUUGUAGGCUUCAUCUUAUUUCUUGAUUUUCUCAUUAUUUUCAGUCUGUACCUGCUCUCCGGAUUUGCCAGUCUCACCAAUGGCUCCCUGGGGUCCUGGAAGUCCCUGGAAUCCGGGGGAACCAGCGGCUCCCUGCUCUCCUCUCUCGCCAGCGGGGCCCUAACAACGAGCAGAGGAACAGUGUCAGAGCGGGAAUAAUCGGACUGUGCAGAUUGGUGAAGAUGAGCAGAGCUGGUCCACUUACAUCCUCUCCAUUCUUGCCGGGAGGGCCUGCAGCUCCACGGGGACCCAUGGGACCCUGAAGAAAAAGGACAGGUCAGGUCUGAGGUGACACACGGGGCAAGACUUCAGAUAAAUCCCGUCAACACUUGAGAUAAGAAAUAUCCCAGAAUGCAACAGUGGAGGAGGAGGUUCCCAGCUGAGAUACCUCCCCAGGAAAGUGUCCAUGAGACCGUUAUUUGCAGAUGUGUGGGCCUGCAGGUGAGUUGUGAUGUCGUCAAGCCAACUAACAUUCGAAACCUCAGACACAAGAAACGUCACAAACGUUCUCUGAGUCAAACUCGCCACGUGUGAACUAUCAAGUCCCAACUUGGAGAAGUUGGAGACGGCGCGAUGGAUGCAGUGACUGGUUCCAUCGCAUUAAAGUGCUAAACUAACUUCUAUAGCAUGUGAGCAUCUAGAAAUUCCCUUUAACAGGACUGACGUCAGAAUCUUAAACUAGAAUGAGAAGGUUUCUGUGAAGUCGGCGUGAACGUGAUCGUCCAGCAU